rnacentral:rRNA from 1 species
UACGUAGGGGGCUAGCGUUGUCCGGAAUCAUUGGGCGUAAAGAGCGUGUAGGCGGCCCGGUAAGUCCGCUGUAAAAGUCAAAGGCUCAACCUUUGAAUGUCAGUGGAUACUGCCGGGCUAAAGUCCGGAAGAGGCGAGUGGAACUCCUGGUGUAGCGGUGGAAUGCGCAGAUAUCAGGAAGAACACCAACGGCGAAGGCAGCUCGCUGGGACGGUACUGACGCUGAGACGCGAAAGCGUGGGGAGCGAACAGG